rnacentral:rRNA from 1 species
UUAAUUAGUGUUAUAAUAUAUAUAAUAUAUAUACUAAUGCAACUGCGAAUAGCUGUUUAAUACAGUCGUAAUUGUAUUGACUUAGUAUAUAAUGUUAAUAAUACAGUUAUUUAUAGGAUAACUAAGGGAAAGUUUGGCUAAUACGUUUUUAAAGUAUUAUAAUUCUUAAUACACAUAUAAUAAUAUUAUAAUAUGAUAAAUAUUAUAUAAAUAUUUUAAUACAUUUAUUUGUAUUAAUAUAUAGAGUUGACUUUAUAAUAUUUAUUUAUUAUAAAGCAUGUCAAACAAGCAUCUAUAGCAUCAAGUCACAAUGUUGGCAUGUGUAUUAUUGAACCUUCAAAGCAUUUACGCAUUCGGAGGAGUAGUUUCUGAUCCCGUCGAAGGUGCCUGAGAGACGGCACUUAGUUCUAAGGAACGCAGCAGGCGCGUAAAUUGCCCAAUGACAAAACAUGUUAUAAAAUACAUAAUGUAUAUAUAUAUACUCAAUAUUUAAUUGAGGCAGUGACAAGCUGUAAAGAUUGAAUAUAUUAAUUAAGAUAACAUUUGGAAUUGUCGUUUUAUAAUAUUUUUUAAUAUUAUAUUACUUGAUAAUAUACCAAUGUUAUAAAAUAUUCAAUUUGAAUGCGGUGAAUGUAAUAAUUUCAAGUAACAUGUAUAAAAUAUUUAUAUUUUAUUAGUUAUCUGAAUUUUCAAGUGGAGGGCAAGUCUGGUGCCAGCAGCCGCGGUAAUACCAGCUCCACUAGCUUAUACAAUCAUUGUUGCGGUUAAGAGGCUCGUAGUUGGAUUGAAUAACAACAUAUAUACACAAUACUGUGAACAAACCAGAGUGUAUAAAACAUGUAAUAUAUUAUAUAUUUAGCAAUGAAUGUUUUAUCAUGGAAUAUUGCUAUAAUGAAUAUUAAAUAUCGAUGGAGAUAGUUGGAGUUAAGAGUACUGAUAGGCGAGCGGUGAAAUGCAUUGACCCUAUUAAGACUAACAAAAGCGAAAGCACUUAACUAGAUUAUUCUCUUUGUAUUAUUUUACAAUGAAGAGCGAAGGUUGGGGGAACAAAGAGGAUCAGAUACCCUCGUAGUCCUAUUUUUACAUCAAACUAUGGGAUUUCAUUCACACUAAACACUAAACAUUAUAAUUAUAAUUAUGAUUGAGUAUAUGUCAAAAUAUUACUCUCAUAUUAAAUAAUUAUUAUAAUAUAUGAUUAUAUGUACUUUGAGCUCAUAUAAUUAUAUAGGUGAGAUGUAAGCAUUAUAAAGUGAAUAAUAUACAAGUAAUAUUGUAUUAUUAUGAUCUUUAAAAUAAAAAAUGUAAUGUGAUGCACGUUUUAGGUACGAGCUUACUAUAGAAAUAUUUAAAAUAAUACCCUCCUGGGGUAGUAUGCACGCANNNNNNNNACUUGAAGGAAUUGACGGAAGGGCACCACAAGAACGCGUGGAGCAUGUGGCUUAAUUUGACUCAACCCGGGAAAUCUUACCAGGUCCAGACAUAUUGAGGAUUGACAGGCGAUAGUAUAUAAUUCAUUUAUAUGCAUAAAAAUGAUAGUCCUUUCAUGAUUAUAUGAUAGGUGGUGCAUGGCCGUUCUUAGUUCGUGGAGUGAUUUGUCUGCUUAAUUGCGUUUCAGUAAAUAAAAUAUAUAAUAUAUUAUAAUAUUUAGUUCUGCCUGGAUAUUAUUCAGGAUUUAAAGUGAACAUAUUAUAUAUAUUAUUAUAUAAUAAAUGAAUGC